rnacentral:rRNA from 1 species
CAGUCGCCGCGGGAAUACGUAGGGUGCAAGCGUUAAUCGGAAUUACUGGGCGUAAAGCGUGCGCAGGCGGUUUUGUAAGACAGAGGUGAAAUCCCCGGGCUCAACCUGGGAACUGCCUUUGUGACUGCAAGGCUAGAGUACGGCAGAGGGGGAUGGAAUUCCGCGUGUAGCAGUGAAAUGCGUAGAUAUGCGGAGGAACACCGAUGGCGAAGGCAAUCCCCUGGGCCUGUACUGACGCUCAUGCACGAAAGCGUGGGGAGCAAACAGGAUUAGAUACCCCGGUAGUCCCUGUCUCUUAUAU